UACGUAGGGUGCGAGCGUUGCCCGGAUUUAUUGGGCGUAAAGGGCGCGUAGGCGGCUCUGCACGUCCGUUGUGAAAUCGCCCGGCUCAACUGGGCGGGGUCAGCGGAUACGGCGGAGCUUGAGCAAGCUAGGGGGCAAUGGAAUUCCCGGUGUAGUGGUGGAAUGCGCAGAUAUCAGGAGGAACACCAAUAGCGAAGGCAGCUCGCUGGGACGUUACUGACACUGAGGCGCGAAAGCGUGGGGAGCGAACAGG
rnacentral:rRNA from 1 species